rnacentral:rRNA from 1 species
GCUAGCAGCUGUAUCAUCCUGCAACUCACCACCGAAGCUAAGUAGGUGUGAGCCUGGUAAGUAUCUGGAUGGGAGAGCUCUUGGGAAAGCUAAGGUUGCUGCUGGAA